AAUCCGCUAUAGGGUGGAGAGUAAAGUGGCGCACGGGUGGAGUAACACGUGGGUAAUCUGCCCUCGGAACCGGGAUAACCCGCCGAAAGGUGGGCUAAUACCGGAUGACAUCCCGUCACAUAAGUGGCGUGAUCAAAGGCGGCUUCGGCUGCUGUCCGGGGAGAGCCCGCGGCCCAUCAGCUCGUGGCGGUUUUUGGCCCACCAAGGUGAAACGGGUAGCUGGUCUGAGAGGACGAUCAGCCACACUGAAUCGAGACACGAUGAAGNCUCCUACNUUAGGUCGGAGUGGNUGAUU
rnacentral:misc_RNA from 1 species